rnacentral:rRNA from 1 species
GGUGUAGCGGUGGAAUGCGCAGAUAUCAGGAGGAACACCGAUGGCGAAGGCAGGUCUCUGGGCAGUAACUGACGCUGAGGAGCGAAAGCAUGGGGAGCGAACAGGAUUAGAUACCCUGGUAGUCCAUGCUGUAAACGGUGGGCGUUAGGUGUGGGGACCGGUUUGGUUUCUGUGCCGUAGCUAACGCAUUAAGCGCCCCGCCUGGGGAGUACGGCCGCAAGGCUAAAACUCAAAGGAAUUGACGGGGGCCCGCACAAGCGGCGGAGCAUGUGGAUUAAUUCGAUGCAACGCGAAGAACCUUACCUGGGUUUGACAUGCACCAGACGGUUGUAGAGAUACGUACCUCCCUUUGUGGUUGGUGUGCAGGUGGUGCAUGGUUGUCGUCAGCUCGUGUCGUGAGAUGUUGGGUUAAGUCCCGCAACGAGCGCAACCCUUGUCUUAUGUUGCCAGCACGUUUAGGGUGGGGACUCAUGAGAGACUGCCGGAGUUAACUCUGAGGAAGGUGGGGAUGACGUCAAAUCAUCAUGCCCUUUAUGCCCAGGGCUUCACACAUGCUACAAUGGUUAGUACAACGCGCUGCGAACCUGUGAGGGUGAGCGAAUCGCUGAAAGCUAAUCUCAGUUCGGAUUGGGGUCUGCAACUCGACCCCAUGAAGUCGGAGUCGCUAGUAAUCGCAGAUCAGCAAUGCUGCGGUGAAUACGUUCCCGGGCCUUGUACACACCGCCCG